GGGUCAGUAGGUUGGUCGUGCCACCGGUACGUACUGGUCUCAGUGAUUCCUCCUUCCUGAAGAACCGUAAUGCCAUUAAUUUGGUGUUGCGGGGAAACAGGACUGUUACUUUGAAAAAAUUAGAGUGUUUAAAGCAAGCUAACGCUUGAAUACAUUAGCAUGGAAUAAUGAAAUAGGACGAUCGAUCCUAUUUUGUUGGUUUCUAGGAUUGACGUA
rnacentral:rRNA from 1 species